UGGGGGGGGGGGGGCUUCUCUAUUUUAAAUGUGUUGACUCAAACUUCUGGCACAGCAAGUUUAGCAGCCACACCAAACAACUUGCACGGCUCUGAGAGCUGCUGGUCCCUCCCUGGCUCCUCGUUGGCCUCCAAAGUCCUGCUCAGGAGACAGCAGCAGUGCUCAGGGGAACCGAGCUGCACUACAGCACAGCAGCUGACCCAAUUAACACAGCAGCUUGCAGUGACCGCGCUGAGCCCCAGCCGGGUGACAGCAGCUUCCUUGCUGUGCUGCUGGCUGACGUACCCACCCACACACCAACCCAUCAACAGGCAACACAGCCAUCAGCACAGCUGUACUUUAAAGCUGUCAGGCUGCAGCAAAAGAAACGAUGACAGCUAGGCAAGGAUUCAGCCAGGAUCUUGCUAUACAACACAGCACUCAGUUGUGGCACUGCACCCCAGCACUGCUCAGCACACACAGGACACCCAGCUCAGAUCAGCCUUGGAAAAAUGAAGUUAAAGAACUGAAUCCCCCCCCAAGUGUUUUUGAAGCAGGAUGAAGAGCUUUGAUCUACAGCACUUCAACUCCUCUAAAGGCACAUCCUGGAACGCAAUUUACAAACAAUUGUUAACGCUGAGAUCACUUAAUAUAACAAUAUAUCCUAAGAUAUACAAAAGCAGUCCAGCUCUAAACAGAGCACAAAA